rnacentral:rRNA from 1 species
CCUACGGGUGGCAGCAGUGGGGAAUAUUGCACAAUGGGCGGAAGCCUGAUGCAGCGACGCCGCGUGAGGGAUGAAGGCCUUCGGGUUGUAAACCUCUUUCGACAGGGACGAAGCGCAAGUGACGGUACCUGGAGAAGAAGCGCCGGCCAACUACGUGCCAGCAGCCGCGGUAAGACGUAGGGCGCGAGCGUUGUCCGGAUUUAUUGGGCGUAAAGAGCUCGUAGGCGGCUUGUUGCGUCAGCUGUGAAAACCCGCAGCUCAACUGUGGGCUUGCA